rnacentral:lncRNA from 1 species
UCUGCAAUGGUUUUAUCUUCACUUCCUUCCCCUAAACUGUUUGCAUCUUUGGAUGCUAACAGUGCUACUGAUACUUUCUGCUCCACUCUUACAUCUUGUUUAGACACUGUUUGCCCCUUAUCUUCCCGGCCAGCCCGUAACACCCCUCCUGCCCCUUGUUUAUCUGAUGUUCUACGCGAACACCGUUCUAAGCUUAGAGCUUCUGAAAGGGUGUGGCGCAAGUCCAAAAAUACUACUGACAUUAAUGUGUAUCAGUCACUCCUUUCUUCUUUCUCUGCUAAUGUCUCCACUGCUAAAAUUACAUAUUACCAUAACAAAAAUAAUAAUUCGUCUAACUCUUGCAUCCUUUUUAAAACAUUUUCCUCACUUCUUUGUCCUCCUCCUCCCCCUCCUGCUUUAUCUCUAAUAGCAGACGACUUUGCCAUGUUUUUCAUUAAUAAAAUUAAACACAUCAGUGCACAAUUUUCCAUACCACAAUCAGACAAGCUCAUAUCACAAGCAAACUUACACUCAUUUACGUCCUUCUCUUCACUCUCUGAGGGCAGAAGUCAUACAAAUUCAUCCUUUCUAAUCACCCUACAACUUGCCCACUUGAUCCUAUUCCAUCUCAUCUCCUUCAAGCCAUUUCUCCUGCAGUUGUACCUGCACUCACUCACAUCCUCAACACUUCCCUCCACACUGGUGUUUUUCCCUCAUCAUUUGGACAGGCACGUAUAACUCCACUACUUAAGAAACCCAACCCAUCUCUUUUAGAGAACUACAGACCAGUUUCCCUUCUUCCUUUCAUUGCAAAAACACUUGAACGAGCUGUGUUCAACCAAGUCUCUACAUUUAUCACACACAACAACCUCCUUGACAGCAACCAAUCUGGCUUCAGAAGUGGACAUUCAACUGAGACUGCCUUGCUCUCAGUUGUUGAAGCUCUAAGACUGGCAAGAGCAGAAUCCAAAUAUUCUGUACUUAUCCUGCUUAUCCUUCACAGUUAACCACCAGAUCCUCCUUACAACCCUACUG